GGAGAAGCUGAUAUCGAGCAGCAGUAAUCCGGCUGUGUGAUUGAAGUGAAGGAUUCCAGCAGGAAGGGUUGUUCGGUGGGUUUUCUCGGGUUCCAGCAGCAAUUAACCUUUGUUGGCAGCAACAGUCCUUGUGUGGAUCAACAAGCACGACUGUGAAUUUAGGUUGAGACUGUCCGGAGAGUUCCAGUCGCUAGUCCCCUGCAGAUCGUAAGGAUAUUUUUAUUGGGUCUUUUGGUUUUAUUUCUUAUUCCACUAUCUAGACUUGUACUAGUUUUGCUUUAUGGAUAUUGUAUGAUUUAUUUUAUUGUCGAUGGAUUUUUAUUGGAUAUGUUUUGCUACAUGCCCGUCUGGAUGGCAGAAG